rnacentral:rRNA from 1 species
GACGAACCGUGCGAACGUUGUUCGGAAUCACUGGGCAUAAAGGGCGCGUAGGCGGCCAACUAAGUCAGACGUGAAAUCCCUCAGCUUAACUGGGGAACUGCGUCUGAUACUGGAUGGCUUGGAUUCGGGAGAGGAAUGCGGAAUUCCAGGUGUAGCGGUGAAAUGCGUAGAUAUCAGGAGGAACACCAAUAGCGAAGGCAGCUCGCUGGGACGGUACUGACGCUAAGGCGCGAAAGCGUGGGGAGCGAACAGG